rnacentral:misc_RNA from 1 species
GUUCUUGAGAUGCCCAUUUCAAGAUCUUCAGGCUCCAGGGCUUCUCAGUGCUGGAGCAUUUGGAAAGUUGACAAUCAGGCUUGCACUUUCCUUGCACGCUCUGAUCUGAAAAAACCUUCUAGUAGAUUGGCAUUUACUCUUGGUGAUUCAGUGAAACCAAAGACAAGAGACAACAUAACAGCUGACAUGAAAAUCAGAUGCUUUUCUGUGACUCUAUUGGACAGCUUAUGCGGAAUGGUAACACCUCUUUUUGA